rnacentral:misc_RNA from 1 species
UAAAACCAAAGCCUGAACUUGUAUAUCUACGAUACAUGCAUUAUAAUUCGAUCUUACUUUUUAUUUGUACAACUAUUAUUUUAUUUUAUGUUUUUUAAAGAUGUGUCAAGUGAAAUAUGUAUUAAUAAAAAUAGACGGAGGGAGUCGAACUUGCAUAAAUAUGAAUCGGGGAAAAAAAGAAAAUCCGAUAAUGUUUUUGUAUGGAUUUUUCCUCAUGAUUCAUUUAAUAAUGGUAUUUUACUGCUGUCUUGCCACUUAACUAAUCGAUUUUUCGUUUUCUCCACCUCUUCUUCCCAAUUGGUUGUAAAAGUGGCCCAUACUAAGAUAAGAGUUUGCAUUGCUGUUCCACCAAACAUGCCCAGCCAUAAUCCCUUAGCUUCGAGUUUGAAGUGAAACCCAA